GAGGGUAUAGUUCAAGUGGUAGAGCGCAUGCUUACCAUGCACAAGGUCCUGGGUUCAAUCCCCAGAACCUCCU
rnacentral:tRNA from 1 species